CGGGGCAAGGCGGCGGGACGGGGAGGAAACGCCGUGCGCCGCUCUGAGGACCUCCAGGAAGCCUGCGGCGGCGGUCUGGGACCGGGCUCCGUCCGCCUCGGUCUGGUCACUCCCAAUCCUUGUACCAGUGUCUUGAAAGCGCCGGCGCUGGACAGGUUUGGGGGGGGCUUCGCCGAGGACCCGGCUCCGGAGACUUCCUGCUCAAUCUGCAGCUGUGGCUCUCCAACUCUCAACUCUUCACACCUGAGGAAACCUCCAACCCUCCAACCCUCCGAACCUCCAACCCUCCGAACCUCCAACCCUCCCAGCUGAACCAGGAGCAGAUUUCCCUCAAAGCUCUUCAAAACCCAGAGUGGAACAUGAUGCCAGCGUUUUUCUGCUUCUUCUGGUCACCAGGCGUCCUCUGGAAGGGCCCGGGACUCGUGUUGACAACCACAGAUGCCCCGAUGCCUCUUUCCCAGAGGGACAAUUAUAAGGACGAGUCCUUAGCUUUAGCUGCUUGCCAAUACAGAGUGCCAGUAUUUAUUAAACGGUGUGUUGAUGUGUGUUUGUCUCCAGACCUCUGCAGAACAUGUGAAUGAAGUGACUCCAAUGUAGAAGAUGUUUUGCUACCUUUAAUCUACUGAGAUGUCUCUUUUCUUUCACUCUGAUUUAUUCUAAUUUCUCUGUAAAUUGCACUUUUUGUAAAAACAAAACUUCAUGAUGGUUGAAAAAAACAUAUGUUGCUCAUUGUGUUUUUCUACCUAUUAAAACAUUGAAGUCUCCAA